ACGAUAACUUUGUACAUCUUGCAUUACUAGUUUUGAAACAUAGUCUUGGGAGAGCGGUACAAUAGAAGAUGAAUGUCGUACAGCACACCCCAUCAAUUUUAUCUACCAAGGAAACCAAAUUUAUGCGUGAGCAACAUUUGGCACAAAUGUUCAAUAUUAUUCCUACUGGCAAUCGAAUUGCUAUGACGGACAGUUCACUAUCAACACGAUAUAUAAGAACAGUUCACUAUCAACACGAUAUGUAAGAUAAGCAAUCAGCACACCAGGUGCGCUGACAAGGACCCCUAGCAGCUUUCUGAGCCUUGGUCACACCAUCACGGCCAUCUUUACCGCAGCAUUCUUUCCCAAAGCAAGCUGUCAUUUGCAGAGUGGAAAAUAAGUCAGCUUGAAACCGACGUUUUGGUUAACAAACUGGGAGAAAAUAAGAUUAUGUAUUGCGAUUUGAAAGGGCAUGAAUAAUUUACAAAACAAAGCUACACUUGUAUAAGCUGAAGCCCGAAAGGCUUACAGUGAAGUGCAUGAAUUCUACAGGAUGUUGAUAGCUCAAUUUAGAGAAACGGAAGCUCAUGUGCAAAUGUUGGGUCAAACCAUCAAAGGCCCGGCGUAAGCUGGCCGAAUUUGGGACUUACAAUCAGCCCACUCACUACAUGCUUUCAUCGAUUUUUACUCCUCACCCUGCAAAUCAGCCAGCGACUACCCUGCCCGAAUAGCUUCAUGCUCCAAAUUUUAUCUACCAGUGGCCUUUGAUCCAUAAACUGUCCUUUUCAGGGCAUGAAAGGUUCGUAACAUAACUCCUAGUAUUAAAAGCUAUUCCUUACCUCACCCAGUUCAUCAAUAUUGAUGUUCAAGAACUACUCCCUCCGUCCCAGUGUCUGAAGCUUAGUACAACUUAGCUCUAGUACAAAGUUGAGACAGUUAUUUUGGGACGGAGGGAGUAUAAUUUAAUUUAUGGUCCUUUCAGGAAAUGGACUUCCUUAUAAAAAACUUCCUAACAUAACUUCUAGUGUAAGAGUUGUUUCUCUCACCCAGUUCAUCAAUAUUGAUGUUCAUGAACUAUAAUUGCAAGUAAAAAAUCAUGCAUAGUGGCAGGAAGGACACAUAGUAAUAUCUGAUGUCAGGAAGUAGUAUAAUUUUGCAACUAAUAACAGGAACUACCUCAUUAUUGAUCACUUUCCAGAAACACAAUGCCAGGUGCAGCAAGCUCACCAUUUAACAUGCCCAUAAGGCAGCUCCAACCUGGUGUCCAUCUGCUCGUCAGGCUGGUUUGCAAGGAUAACGAAAUCGUCCUCCAAGUCCAUCUGGUCUUCCUCCUCGGGCUGAUUUGCAAUGAUAACAAAAUCGUCCUCCAGCUCUGAAUCCUCAUCCUCAUACUCCAAGCUCCCGGUUGGUACCUUGCUCUGCUCACCCUCAUCAUCCGAGGUCCCAUCAUCUUCAUCCUCCGAGGUCCCAUCAUCUUCAUCCUCCGAGGUCCCAUCAUCUUCAUCCUCCGAGGUCCCAUCAUCUUCAUUCUCCAAGGCCACAAGUGGCACCACCACGCUCUCCCCCUCGUAAUCAUCGAUGGGCACCGGUGGCACCUCCCUCUCCUCAAGCAGGUCGGUGACAUCCGGGUCGAUAGCCUCCUCGACUGGGAUCAGCUCUCCCGUUGCGGCGGCAUUGUCCAGACCAACCUCAACACCACGCGCGUCGUAAGCCUACAGAGAACAGCACCGGGAUCAGACACCUGGAAGGCUAGAAGGGAUGAAAUUACGCGGCAGGGUCUAGUGAACAAACAGAUCGG
rnacentral:lncRNA from 1 species